CUACGGGCCGCUGCAGUCAAGAAUCUUCCGCAAUGCACGAAAGUGUGACGGAGCGAUGCCGCGUGGUGGAUGAAGGUUUUCGGAUCGUAAACACCUUUUAUUAGGGAAGAACAAAUGACGGUACCUAAUGAAUAAGAGGUUGCUAACUCUGUGCCAGCAGCAGCGGUAAUACAGAGACCUCAAGCGUUGUCCGGAUUUAUUGGGCGUAAAGGGUCCGUAGGCGGUUUUAUAAGUCGCUUGUUAAAUUUUCAGGCUCAACCUGGAAGCUGCGAACGAUACUGUAAAACUUGAGGCCGGGAAAGGUACACGGAAUUGUAGGUGUAGCGGUAAAAUGCGUUAAUAUCUACAAGAACACCAAAUGCGAAGGCAGUGUACUGGAACGAGCCUGACGCUCAGGGACGAAAGCGUGGGUAGCGAAUGGGAUUAGAUACCCCUGUAGUC
rnacentral:rRNA from 1 species